CCUACGGGAGGCAGCAGUGAGGAAUAUUGGUCAAUGGACGAGAGUCUGAACCAGCCAAGUAGCGUGAAGGAUGACUGCCCCAUGGGUUGUAAACUUCUUUUAUAUGGGAAUAAAAUGUUCCACGUGUGGGAUUUUGUAUGUACCAUAUGAAUAAGGAUCGGCUAACUCCGUGCCAGCAGCCGCGGUAAUACGGAGGAUCCGAGCGUUGUCCGGAUUUAUUGGGUUUAAAGGGAGCGUAGGUGGAUUGUUAAGCCAGUUGUGAAAGUUUGCGGCUCAAGCGUAAAAUUGCAGUUGAAACUGGCAGUCUGGAGUACAGUAGAGGUGGGCGGAAUUCGUGGUGUAGCGGUGAAAUGCUUAGAUAUCACGAAGAACUCCGAUUGCGAAGGCAGCUCACUGGACUGCAACUGACACUGAGGCUCGAAAGUGUGGGUAUCAAACAGGAUUAGAUACCCCAGUAGUC
rnacentral:rRNA from 1 species